rnacentral:misc_RNA from 1 species
UUUCCGUAGGUGAACCUGCGGAAGGAUCAUUAUUGUAUAACCGAGGUGCGAGGGCUGUCGCUGACCCAAAAUGUCGUGCACGCCCGAGUGCCCUCAAACACAUCCAUCUCACCCCUAUGUGCACCACCGCGUGGGUCCCCCUUUGGCUUGUUCGGAGGGGGGCUUACGUUUUCACACAAACUUUGUAUGCAGUGUAGAAUGUAUUUUUUGUUUUUGCGAUCACGCAAUCAAUAAAACUUUCAACAACGGAUCUCUUGGCUCUC